rnacentral:rRNA from 1 species
GAAGGUGAAGUCGUAACAAGGUCUCCGUUGGUGAACCAGCGGAGGGAUCAUUACUGAGUUUACGCUCUACAACCCUUUGUGAACAUACCUAUAACUGUUGCUUCGGCGGGCAGGGUCUCCGUGACCCUCCCGGCCUCCCGCCCCCGGGCGGGUCGGCGCCCGCCGGAGGAUAACCAAACUCUGAUUUAACGACGUUUCUUCUGAGUGGUACAAGCAAAUAAUCAAAACUUUUAACAACGGAUCUCUUGGUUCUGGCAUCGAUGAAGAACGCAGCGAAAUGCGAUAAGUAAUGUGAAUUGCAGAAUUCAGUGAAUCAUCGAAUCUUUGAACGCACAUUGCGCCCGCCAGCAUUCUGGCGGGCAUGCCUGUUCGAGCGUCAUUUCAACCCUCAAACUCUGCUUGGUGUUGGGGCCCUACAGCCGAUGUAGGCCCUCAAAGGUAGUGGCGGACCCUCCCGGAGCCUCCUUUGCGUAGUAACUUUACGUCUCGCACUGGGAUCCGGAGGGACUCUUGCCGUAAAACCCCCAAUUCUCCAAAGGUUGACCUCGGAUCAGGUAGGAAUACCCGCUGAACUUAAGCAUAUCAAUAAGCGGAGGA